AAUAUAGGAUGCCCAGUUAAAUUUGAAUUUCAGAUGAAUGACAAUAAUUAUUUAGUAUAAGUGUGUCCCAUAUAAUACUUGGGACAUACUUAUACUAAAAAAUUAUUUGUUGUUCAUCUGCAAUUCUAACUGAAUUGGGCAUCCUGUUUUUU
rnacentral:miRNA from 1 species